AAGGGGAAGGCUACCAUUUGUAUAGGUUGCUUGCCAAUCAAACUUGGACUGAACUUGAACUUCUUUCAUCGACCAGUUGUUGGAAACUUUUGGGGUUUAAAAAAUGACUAUAGCAGAAAUAAUGGCAGUAUGAACAAAGACAGCCUGCAUAAGUUUAGCAUUUGGGAACUCAGAAAAAAAAAGUUUGUAUUCAUUUCUAAUGUACUGAAUGUUGAGUCAGAUUUUAAGCAGUUUUUUAGAUUCUGCUUAGGCAAUCUCAAAGUUUCUUAAAGACUUAGAUAAUGUAUAAGCAAUCGUUUAAAUAAUAGUUAACAAGGAACCUUGGCUUAAAGACACAAGUCAAUUGUUCCUAUAAAGAAAUUCUCACCCUUGUUUUUCUCUGUUAUGCCAUUUUUCCCUUUUCCUACGAAGAAAUUCUCAGCAUUUUUUUUAAUGUAUAAUUUCC
rnacentral:lncRNA from 1 species